GACGAACCGAGCAAACGUUAUUCGGAAUCACUGGGCUUAAAGAGUCCGUAGGCGGCGCGUUAGGUGGGGUGUGAAAUCCCUCGGCUCAACCGAGGAAUUGCGCUCCAAACCGGCGUGCUUGAGGAAGGUAGAGGUGAGCGGAACUGAUGGUGGAGCGGUGAAAUGCGUUGAUAUCAUCAGGAACACCGGAGGCGAAGGCGGCUCACUGGGCCUUUUCUGACGCUGAGGGACGAAAGCCAGGGUAGCGAAC
rnacentral:rRNA from 1 species